CCCUGCCAUUUGUACACACCGCCCGUCGCUACUACCGAUUGAAUGAUUUAGUGAGGACUUCGGACUGGGGCCUAUGCGACUUUCGGGUUGCGUCGGUAAUCUGGAAAGAUGUCCAAACUGUAUCAUUU
rnacentral:rRNA from 1 species